rnacentral:miRNA from 1 species
GUGUUGGCCUGCUGGCCGGCG